rnacentral:rRNA from 1 species
CUAUAAUGCAAGUCGAGCGAACGGACGAGGGUGCUUGCACUCUCUGAUGUUAGCGGCGGACGGGUGAGUAACACGUGGGUAACCUACCUAUAAGACUGGGAUAACUUCGGGAAACCGGAGCUAAUACCGGAUAAUAUUUAGCUUCGCAUGAAGCAAUAGUGAAAGACGGUUCUGCUGUCACUUAUAGAUGGACCCGCGGUGUAUUAGCUAGUUGGUGAGGUAACGGCUCACCAAGGCAACGAUACAUAGCCGACCUGAGAGGGUGAUCGGCCACACUGGGACUGAGACACGGCCCAGACUCCUACGGGAGGCAGCAGUAGGGAAUCUUCCGCAAUGGACGAAAGUCUGACGGAGCAACGCCGCGUGAGUGAAGAAGGUUUUCGGAUCGUAAAACUCUGUUGUAAGGGAAGAACAAGUACGUUAGUAACUGAACGUACCUUGACGGUACCUUACCAGAAAGCCACGGCUAACUACGUGCCAGCAGCCGCGGUAAUACGUAGGUGGCAAGCGUUAUCCGGAAUUAUUGGGCGUAAAGCGCGCGUAGGCGGUCUCUUAAGUCUGAUGUGAAAGCCCCCGGCUCAACCGGGGAGGGUCAUUGGAAACUGGGAGACUUGAGUGCAGAAGAGGAGAGUGGAAUUCCAUGUGUAGCGGUGAAAUGCGCAGAGAUAUGGAGGAACACCAGUGGCGAAGGCGGCUCUCUGGUCUGUAACUGACGCUGAGGUGCGAAAGCGUGGGGAUCAAACAGGAUUAGAUACCCUGGUAGUCCACGCCGUAAACGAUGAGUGCUAAGUGUUGGGGG